ACAAAUACUUAUUCAGCAACCAUUACUUGCAAGAAAACAUUAUGGGCAAUAAGGGUUCAGCAAUAAAUUAAAUAGAUCAAGUCUCUGUCCUCCAUGAGAUGGAAAGUACUUUUUUACUGUUAUGAACAGAAAUCAGAGAGCAGAAAAAUUAAGAGCUAUAGAAUGUGCUACUUCCGGUAUAUUGUAUGACCCCUAGCAUUGGCAUUGGUGUCACCUGGAAGCACAUGAGAAAUGCAGAAUAUCAGUCCUCAUGCCAUGCCUACAGAAACACAACUUGUAUUUUUUUCAAGAUCCCCAGGCAAUGGAAAUACACAUUAAUGUUUAAGAAGCACUGGAAAACUAACCCAAGACACCUACUGGGAAAAUAUAUAAUAGAGCUCUUUAAUAAUUUAAAGAAUCAUCGCUGUAGAUUCCAAGUAGACAAAUCUCAGAAACUACCAUCUCCUAAUGAAUAUCUAGUGGUUUAGGUAAUUCCUGGAAGUUUAAUCACAUGCUAGAGACACAGAUUGCAUGUAAACCAUAUGUUCAUGUUUAAAGUAAAAUAAAAAGGAAAUAGAUUUGUGGUGGACAGUCUCUCCUUUCCUGGUUCUGAAGAAGCUUGCUGACAUGUUUUGAGGUGUCCUAGGAAAAGAUCCACAGGACAAAAGACUGAUAAAAGCCUCUAGCUGAUAGCCAGCAAGCAACUGAAGCUCUCAGUCUGAAGGCUGCAAGGCUAACAGUUGGUUUAUAACCUUACAGAAGACCGAGCCAUGACAUGCCUGGUUCCUGACCCACAGAAAUAGUGAGUACAUGAAGCAUGAUGAUCAAUUCCAAUAGAAGACAAAAGAAUGUGCUAUGGAAAGAAUGAAGCACUUUUUAUUCACAAAGUAUGGAACUGGUAAAACACUUAAUUUGGGACACACCAAGAAAACAGUAAGAUUGCUAUACAACACUUAGAAUUACUAUAGUUGAUGUCUACAAUCCAUCCCAACCUUGGAAAUCCAUUCUUUCUGCAUGGAGAAUUAAAGAAUCAUUUUGGCCAAGUGGGAGAGAAGUGAAGUCCCUUGAGGUUUUUGACAGAAGUUGAGGAUCCACCAAGAUUCAGCUAAAGCCCUCACUGCCAAAGAUAAAGACUAAUGAUAGUGUGCACAUUGGCAAUCCCCGUGGAUAGACCCAGAUGAAACUAAGCCUGUAGUUGGAUGGUAAACUCAGGCUAAAUUGAGCACCAUUAUUUUGCUGAAGCUCUUCAUAGUUGAAUUCAUUUUGUUUUGGUUGUUUGCCAAGAAAUAAAGUUAUCUGGGAAUUUUGGUUAUCUGAUUAGGUUUCUAUAGUUUAUAAAUGAUUUUUUUCUAGACUUCUAACU